rnacentral:lncRNA from 1 species
CUCCAAUGCUUAAACCACAGGAGAAAAGUAGGAUGCUGGUACCACAGAAGUAGUGUGCUCCAAACUUCGGGCUGUACCUACUGUCCGGGGAUGAAAUCUGCCACCAGGACUUGCAAUACAUAGUCCUGUGCUCCCCAAGAGCUUUCGCUUCCUGCAAUGCGCUUGAGACCCGCAUGCAUCUUUGAAGAAAUGAUGCCUACUGCGAUUCAAGGAAGCAGGCUGUUCAUAAGGCAUAGUGACGAGCGCUACUGAAUCGUGUUCAUAAAUCACUUGUAGACCUUCUGCCAAUCACCAUCCAAUCAGCACUCGUACAGGAUAUGAGCGUGGAUGUUAUCGCAAUUUAAUGGGUCAGGGAUGCAAGGUGCUAUUGAAAGAAGUGAGGUUCAAUAGCAGUCUAGCAUCUGAACAAAAGAAGAUUUUCGCUGUAUUUUUCUGUGUUCUAGAGAAGUUAUGCGUGUCAGCACCCUCAUGCUCAACACAUUGCCCCGCUCAUCCCCAGAUACGCACAGAGCCUGGGCAAGGGGACGUCCUCCAGGAUGAAGCAUGGAGAGCUCCUGCUACUGAGCCUGCUGCUUCGUCCAUCUUCUGUGAUUCAAGGCUUGGUCUCCCUCCUGGAUGUGUUCACAGCCACACUCCCUGCUGUUCUUGGGACCUGACACAUCAGCAUGGCUCUCGACCUCUCCUCAUUUUACUUUCUAACAUCCUGGAAGCUUCAUCAUGA